GUGAGGAAUAUUGGUCAAUGGACGGAAGUCUGAACCAGCCAUGCCGCGUGCAGGAAUAAGGUCCUAUGGAUUGUAAACUGCUUUUAUUCGGGAAUAAACCUCUUUACGUGUAGGGAGCUGAAGGUACCGAAGGAAUAAGCACCGGCUAACUCCGUGCCAGCAGCCGCGGUAAUACGGAGGGUGCAAGCGUUAUCCGGAAUCAUUGGGUUUAAAGGGUCCGCAGGCGGGCUAUCAAGUCAGAGGUGAAAUCCCACAGCUUAACUGUGGAACUGCCUUUGAAAAUGAUGGUCUUGAAUUAAGUGGGCGUUGGCGGAAUAUGACAUGUAGCGGUGAAAUGCAUAGAUAUGUCAUGGAACACCGAAAGCGAAGGCAGCUAACGAUACUUAUAUUGACGCUCAUGGACGAAAGCGUGGGUAGCGAACAGGAUUAGAAACCCGGGUAGUCC
rnacentral:rRNA from 1 species